GUAUGCUUCUUCGGAAGCAGAGACCGGCGCACGGGUGCGUAACGCGUAUGCAAUCUACCUUUUACAGAGGGAUAGCCCAGAGAAAUUUGGAUUAAUACCUCAUAGCAUUGCAGGAUGGCAUCAUCCAGCAAUUAAAGUCACAACGGUAAAAGAUGAGCAUGCGUCCCAUUAGCUAGUUGGUAAGGUAACGGCUUACCAAGGCUACGAUGGGUAGGGGUCCUGAGAGGGAGAUCCCCCACACUGGUACUGAGACACGGACCAGACUCCUACGGGAGGCAGCAGUGAGGAAUAUUGGACAAUGGGCGCAAGCCUGAUCCAGCCAUGCCGCGUGCAGGAUGACGGUCCUAUGGAUUGUAAACUGCUUUUAUACGAGAAGAAACACUACUUCGUGAAGUAGCUUGACGGUAUCGUAAGAAUAAGGAUCGGCUAACUCCGUGCCAGCAGCCGCGGUAAUACGGAGGAUCCAAGCGUUAUCCGGAAUCAUUGGGUUUAAAGGGUCCGUAGGCGGUUUAAUAAGUCAGUGGUGAAAGCCCAUCGCUCAACGGUGGAACGGCCAUUGAUACUGUUAAACUUGAAUUAUUAGGAAGUAACUAGAAUAUGUAGUGUAGCGGUGAAAUGCUUAGAGAUUACAUGGAAUACCAAUUGCGAAGGCAGGUUACUACUAAUGGAUUGACGCUGAUGGACGAAAGCGUGGGUAGCGAACAGGAUUAGAUACCCUGGUAGUCCACGCCGUAAACGAUGGAUACUAGCUGUUGGAAGCAAUUUCAGUGGCUAAGCGAAAGUGAUAAGUAUCCCACCUGGGGAGUACGUUCGCAAGAAUGAAACUCAAAGGAAUUGACGGGGGCCCGCACAAGCGGUGGAGCAUGUGGUUUAAUUCGAUGAUACGCGAGGAACCUUACCAAGGCUUAAAUGUAGAUUGACCGGUUUGGAAACAGAUCUUUCGCAAGACAAUUUACAAGGUGCUGCAUGGUUGUCGUCAGC
rnacentral:rRNA from 1 species